rnacentral:rRNA from 1 species
CUACGAGGACGAACGCUGGCGGCGUGCUUAAUACAUGCAAGUCAACUUGACUUUAGAUAGCAAUAUCGAAAAGUAGGGUGGCGCACGGGUGCGUAACGCGUAGGUAAUCUGCCCUGAGGUCUGACAUAACCCGUCGAAAGGCGGGCUAACAUCAGAUGAUAUAUAAUCACGACAUCGUGGAAAUAUCAAAUCUUCGGAGCCUUGGGAUGAGCCUGCGUCUGAUUAGGUAGUUGGCGGAGUAAUAGCCCACCAAGCCUACGAUCAGUAGCUGGUCUGAGAGGAUGAUCAGCCACACUGGAACUGAGACACGGUCCAGACUCCUACGGGAGGCAGCAGUAAGGAAUAUUGCUCAAUGGGGGGAAACCCUGAAGCAGCAACGCCGCGUGAAGGAUGAAAUACUUUUGUAUGUAAACUUCUGUAAGAUGGGAAAAAUAUUCUCCUCGGGAGAAUUGAUUGUACCAUCAGAGUAAGCCCCGGCUAACUACGUG